rnacentral:tRNA from 1 species
UUGGCCAAGUGGUAAGGCAACGGGUUUUGGUCCCGCUAUUCAGAGGAUCGAAUCCUUGUA